rnacentral:tRNA from 1 species
AGCGGGUGACGAGAAUCGAACUCGCGACAACAGCUUGGAAGGCUGUAGUUUUACCACUAAACUACACCCGC